rnacentral:rRNA from 1 species
AGGAUGAACGCUAGCGGCAGGCUUAACACAUGCAAGUCGAGGGGUAUAUUUCUUCGGAAUUAGAGACCGGCGCACGGGUGCGUAACGCGUAUGCAAUCUACCUUUCACAAAGGGAUAGCCCAGAGAAAUUUGGAUUAAUACCUUAUAGUAUAUGAGCUUGGCAUCAAGAUCAUAUUAAAGAUUUAUCGGUGAAAGAUGAGCAUGCGUCCCAUUAGCUAGUUGGUAUGGUAACGGCAUACCAAGGCUACGAU